rnacentral:rRNA from 1 species
GACGAACGCUGGCGGCGUGCUUAACACAUGCAAGUCGAACGGUGAAGCGCCUUCCUUUUUGGUGGGUGUGGAUGAGUGGCGAACGGGUGAGUAACACGUGAGUAACCUGCCCCCUUCUUCUGGAUAACCGCAUGAAAGUGUGGCUAAUACGGGAUAUUCUGGGUCUGUCGCAUGAUGGGUCUGGGAAAGAUAUUGUUUCGGUGGGGGAUGGGCUCGCGGCCUAUCAGCUUGUUGGUGGGGUGAUGGCCUACCAAGGCGGUGACGGGUAGCCGGCCUGAGAGGGUGGACGGUCACACUGGGACUGAGACACGGCCCAGACUCCUACGGGAGGCAGCAGUGGGGAAUAUUGCACAAUGGGUGCAAGCCUGAUGCAGCGACGCCGCGUGAGGGAUGGAGGCCUUCGGGUUGUGAACCUCUUUCGCCAGUGAAGCAGGCCUGCCUCGUUUGUGGGUGGGUUGACGGUAGCUGGAGAAGAAGCGCCGGCUAACUACGUG